rnacentral:rRNA from 1 species
GCCAGCAGCCGCGGUAAUACAGAGGGUGCAAGCGUUAAUCGGAAUUACUGGGCGUAAAGCGCGCGUAGGUGGUUUGUUAAGUUGGAUGUGAAAGCCCUGUGCUCUACCUGGGAACUGCAUCCCAAACUGGCAAGCUAGAGUACGGUAGAGGGUGUUUGGAUUUCCUGUGUAGCGGUGAAAUGCGUAGAUAUAGGAAGGAACACCAGCGGCGAAGGCGACCACCUGGACUGAUACUGACACUGAGGUGCGAAAAAGUGGGGAGCAAACAGGAUUAGAUACCCUGGUAGUCCACGCCGUAAACGAUGUCAACUAGCCGUUGGUAUCCUUGAGAUUUUAGUGGCGCAGCUUACGCAUUAAGUUGACCGCCUGGGGAGUACGGCCGCAAGGUUAAUACUCUAAUGUAUUGACGGGGGCCCGCACAAGCGGUGGAGCAUGUGGUUUAAUUCGAAGCAACGCGAAGAACCUUACCAGGCCUUGAAAU